rnacentral:lncRNA from 1 species
GAUAUUAUUUUUUAUAAAAUAUUUUAAUUUAAAUCAAAAAUCAAAAGCUAAGAUAGUACAACAUAGCAUAAAAAUACUGCUAUGUAUAAAAGAGCAGGAUAUAAAUAAAUUUAAAUAUUGUAAACUUGAUUCCCUGAGAUAUAAAUAUAUACUGAAAAUAUCAAAACAUAAACUUCACCAAAAUAUAUACAUAAAUCAUUCUAUAUAGGUCAAACUAUUAUCAGCAUUUAUACUGCUAAUUGUUCAAUCAUUCCAAUUCAGUGAUCUGAGUGUGAUAU